CCUGACUGCUAUCGGAUUGAUACUAAGCCAUGCGAGUCUUUGCAGUAAUGCAAGGCAUACGGCUCAGUAACACGUAGUCAACUUACCCUAUGGACGAGGAUAAUCUCGGGAAACUGAGCAUAAUACCCGGUAGACCACUUAUCCUGGAAUGGUUAGUGGUUAAAAUGAUUCGUCGCCAUAGGAUGGGACUGCGGCCUAUCAGCUUGUUGGUGAGGUAAUGGCCCACCAAGGCGAUUACAGGUACGGGCUCUGAGAGGAGAGGCCCGGAGAUGGGUACUGAGACAAGGACCCAGGCCCUAUGGGGCGCAGCAGGCGAGAAAACUUUGCAAUGUGCGAAAGCACGACAAGGUUAAUCCGAGUGAUUUCUGCUAAAGGAAUCUUUUGUUAGUUCUAAAAAUACUAGUGAAUAAGGGGUGGGCAAGUUCUGGUGUCAGCCGCCGCGGUAAAACCAGCACCUCAAGUGGUCAGGAGGAUUAUUGGGCCUAAAGCAUCCGUAGCCUGUUCUAUAAGUUUGCGGUUAAAUCUAUACGCUCAACGUAUAGGCUGCUGUAAAUACUGUAGAACUAGGGAGUGGGAGAGGUAGACGGUACUCGGUAGGAAGGGGUAAAAUCCUUUGAUCUAUCGAUGACCACCUGUGGCGAAGGCGGUCUACCAGAACACGUUCGACGGUGAGGGAUGAAAGCUGGGGGAGCAAACCGGAUUAGAUACCCGGGUAGUCCCAGCUGUAAACGAUGCAGACUCGAUGAUGCAAUGGCAUAGAGCUAUUGCAGUAUCGCAGGGAAGCCGUUAAGUCUGCCGCCUGGGAAGUACGUACGCAAGUAUGAAACUUAAAGGAAUUGGCGGGGGAGCACCACAAGGGGUGAAGCCUGCGGUUC
rnacentral:rRNA from 1 species